rnacentral:rRNA from 1 species
GACGAACGCUGGCGGCGUGCUUAACACAUGCAAGUCGAACGGAAAGGCCCUGCUUUUGUGGGGUGCUCGAGUGGCGAACGGGUGAGUAACACGUGAGUAACCUGCCCUUGACUUUGGGAUAACUUCAGGAAACUGGGGCUAAUACCGGAUAGGAGCUCCUGCUGCAUGGUGGGGGUUGGAAAGUUUCGGCGGUUGGGGAUGGACUCGCGGCUUAUCAGCUUGUUGGUGGGGUAGUGGCUUACCAAGGCUUUGACGGGUAGCCGGCCUGAGAGGGUGACCGGAUGCUUUGGCGUGGACAGCCGGCCAUGGAUGUGGGGGGAGGCGGCGGGAGUAAUUAGUGCCUGGGGGGGGGCGUCCGGGUGAAGCAGCGCGGCGGGGGGCACGACGUCGGUCGGUUGUUGAACCGCUGCGCCCUGUGCGGAGGGGGGGUUGACGGGAGUGGAAAGGAAAGAACCGGAUACCUCCGCGCCCGCAGCGGGGGUAAUAAUGGGACGAGCCACCGUCUCACC